AUUGAACGCUGGCGGCAGGCCUAACACAUGCAAGUCGAACGAGUGGCGGACGGGUGAGUAAUGUCUGGGAAACUGCCUGAUGGAGGGGGAUAACUACUGGAAACGGUAGCUAAUACCGCAUACCAUCGGAUGUGCCCAGAUGGGAUUAGCUAGUAGGUGGGGUAAAGGCUCACCUAGGCGGCGGUCCCUAGCUGGUCUGUGAGGAUGACCAAACAAACUGGAACGGAAGCACGGUCCAGUCUCCUGCGAGAGGGAGCAGUGGGGAAGAUUGCAGAAUGGGCGCAAGCCUGAUGCAGCCAUGCCGCGUGUAUGAAGAAGGCGUUCGGGUUGUAAAGUACUUUCAGCGGGGAGGCGUUACCCGCAGAAGAAGCAACGGCUAACUCCGUGCCAGCAGCCGCGGUAAUUC
rnacentral:rRNA from 1 species